rnacentral:rRNA from 1 species
AAUGAACGCUGGCGGCAGGCCUAACACAUGCAAGUCGAACGGAUCCUUCGGGAUUAGUGGCGGACGGGUGAGUAACGCGUGGGAACAUACCCUUUGGUACGGAAUAGCCUCGGGAAACUGGGAGUAAUACCGUAUGUGGUCGAGAGACGAAAGAUUUAUCGCCAAAGGAUUGGCCCGCGUUGGAUUAGGUAGUUGGUGGGGUAAUGGCCUACCAAGCCGACGAUGCAUAGCUGGUUUGAGAGGAUGAUCAGCCACACUGGGACUGAGACACGGCCCAGACUCCUACGGGAGGCAGCAGUGGGGAAUCUUAGACAAUGGGGGAAACCCUGAUCUAGCCAUGCCGCGUGAUCGAUGAAGGCCUUAGGGUUGUAAAGAUCUUUCAGGUGGGAAGAUAAUGACUGUACCACCAGAAGAAGCCCCGGCUAACUCCGUGCCAGCUGCCGCAGUAA